rnacentral:rRNA from 1 species
AGGGUUUGAUUAUGGCUCAGGAUGAACGCUGGCGGCGUGCUUAACACAUGCAAGUCGAACGAAGCUGCUUAACUGAUCUUCUUCGGAAUUGACGUUUUGUAGACUGAGUGGCGGACGGGUGAGUAACGCGUGGGUAACCUGCCCUGUACAGGGGGAUAACAGUCAGAAAUGACUGCUAAUACCGCAUAAGACCACAGCACCGCAUGGUGCAGGGGUAAAAACUCCGGUGGUACAGGAUGGACCCGCGUCUGAUUAGCUGGUUGGUGAGGUAACGGCUCACCAAGGCGACGAUCAGUAGCCGGCUUGAGAGAGUGAACGGCCACAUUGGGACUGAGACACGGCCCAA